GUCCCGCAACGAGCGCAACCCUUGCCUUUAGUUGCCAGCAGUUCGGCUGGGCACUCUAAAGGGACUGCCGGUGUUAAACCGGAGGAAGGUGGGGAUGACGUCAAGUCCUCAUGGCCCUUUAUGACCAGGGCUACACACGUACUACAAUGGCCGAUACAAAGGGCAGCGACACUGCGAGGUGAAGCCAAUCCCGUAAAAUCGGUCUCAGUCCGGAUUGGAGUCUGCAACUCGACUCCAUGAGGUUGGAAUCGCUAGUAAUCGUGGAUCAGCAUGCCACGGUGAAUACGUUCCCGGUCCUU
rnacentral:rRNA from 1 species